CAUAGUUUACAUGCUCUGUGUUUUGGAAUUUGGAUUUACUUAUCUGUUUAUCAUUAUCAAUAUGCCUUUAGUAUGCUGCUAAAGUCUAAAAAUAGUUGAUCAUGUCGCAAGUAACUGUGAUAUCACAUGCUUCAUUUCUGUGCCUACCAUGGUGACCACGGGUAACGGGGAAUCAGGGUUCAAUUCCAGAGAGGGAGCCUGAGAAACGUCUACGACAUGCAAGGGAGGCAGCAUGCGCUCAAAUGACCCACUCCCGACGUGGAUAGGUAGUGACG